rnacentral:lncRNA from 1 species
UGAUACCCAAAUGGACGGCGGAGGUCUUUCUUUACUCGGCGGCGGCGGCAGUGGUUGUGGUGGGUUAUCUGCUAAUUCCACCAAUGUCUCCACGGUGGUGGAUGCCGAUCAGACCGAUGACCACCUGGAGCUGGGUCUUGGUCUCAGCCUCGGCGGCAGCGCUGGAAAGGGCAAAUUAACAAGUGGAUGGGGCGAGUGUGGGAGAAUCCUCACUGCCAAGGAUUUUCCUUCUCAUGGAAGCAACAAGAAGCCUUGUUCGUCUAAUUCCCCUUUCGGUGGUGGUGCUGCUACUAAGAAGAGAGCUGCUGACUCUGU